CAUUACCAUUAAAAUAUAUUCCCUGCCCCUCUCCUCUUCAUUGCUAUGUGUAAGGAAAAGCAUCCUUGAUUGUUCUGUCCGAGUAUUGUUCUUCUCUUGUGCUUCUCUCUAGAUUUUCAAAUUGACUGAAAUUCCUUUAAUAAUGGAAAAAGGUGAAGCCGAAAAAGCAAAACUAAACCAAAACUGGAGCGAGGCUGUGGAAGAUCUAGUGACGGCUGGUGAUACAAACGGUGCAAUCUCUCUUCUCGAAACUGUGGUCUCGAAGCUUGAAGGCAUAAGCAGCCCAUCUGAAACUGUUGAUCUCCAAUUAGCUUCUGCCCUCGAUGAAUUGUCUAAGCUCUAUUCCACCAAUCACUUCUCUCUCAAAUCCGAUGAGCUUCUUUCUCGUGCUUCCCUCCUCAAACACCGAGCCCUUCACUCUCGCCCUUCCGUCAACACAGAUGGUUUGGAGAAAGACGUGAAGGAAGAAAAUGUUUCAAAGUCCAAUCAGUUGUUGUGUUGCAAAGAUCCAAUUGCUGAUGGGUCUUCUAUGAAUGGGCACUUUGAGGAAUCAUUGAGUCCGCCUGAUGAUGCUUCUUCUUGCAAUGGGCCUUCAGAUGAUGAUUGGGAAGCUAUUGCAGAUCGUGCACCUAGUGAAUUACUCUCCUCCCCGGGCUUACCUAGUGUGUCAAAUCUUUCAUUGGAGGAUACUAAAGUUCAAGGCCCUAAGCGUCGUGGAAGGGGAACUUUCUCAUAUAAUCAAGAAAAAUUAUAUAGUGAUCGGCAAUCUGAUGUGUCUUUUUCUGGUGACACAGAGGAUGAAGACUUGAGCAAAAGUAAAGAACAGAACAUGAAACCAAUACAUUCUAAAUAUGGCACACGCCAUGUUCUUGUUCUGGCUGACUUUCCACCAAGUACAAGGACAAUAGACCUUGAGAAACUUUUUCGAGACUUCACAGGUCGUGGAGUUGUUAUUCGCUGGGUUAAUGAUACGAUGGCCCUUGCAGUAUUCCAAACACCAGCCAUAGCGCUUGAGGCCCAAAACCAUGUUCAAUUUCCAUUUAAAGUGCAUAUUCUUGAUGAGGAUGAUAUUGUUUUGAGUUUAAUUCCUGUGAAAGUUCAAUGCUCAAGUGCAAGAGCAGACAACAAAGAUCCAGUUACACCUCUUUUGCUGUUCACCUGAGAGCACAAAAAUGCUUUUCCUAUUGGAGUCAUUUGGCUUGUGCAUAUUAUAGGAUUGCCACAACAACAUUCACAGUUCAUGUGAGGUGGCCCACUGUUUUGUGGGAGGAGGACUCAGAAAAAUAUUGAUACUAGAUAAUCUUAGCUGUUCUAGUUUUUUAUGUGUUGACAUGCCCAUUUAUGUGGAAAGAGUGAAGGUGGAUGAAUUUAAGAAUGUGUCCAGAAAGAAUGGGACUGGGUGAAACUUCGUGUUUGUGUCUUGCAGUCCUGAUCUGGAACCUCCUCGUCGAAGGCCGCAAACAUCAACAAGAACUGCCCAGAGGCUGAUUGCACAAGGAAUGGGAUUGAAGUUGCCUUCUACAAGCUUUGGUUCUAGAGAGCUGAAGAAUCAGGAAGAAGCAAGAAAGA